CAAUAGCGUAUAUUAAAGUUGUUGCAGUUAAAAAGCUCGUAGUUGGAUUUCUGGUCGGAAGCUCCUGUCCUCUGAUGAGCGUACAAGUGCGUCCUACCAUCCUUCUGUUAACCUUUAAGGCUUUCGCGGCUUUCUAGGGGCUCAGAUAUUUUACCUUGAGAAAAUUAGAGUGUUUCAGGCAGGCUAGCGCCGGAAUACAUUAGCAUGGAAUAAUGGAAUAGGACUUUUGCCUCUUCUGUUGGUCAUGAGGCUCGAGUAAUGAUUAAUAGGGAUAGUUGGGGGCAUUAGUACUUAACUGGCAGAGGUGAAAUUCUCGGAUUUGUUAAAGACUAACUUAUGCGAAAGCAUUUGCCAAGGAUGUUUUCAUUAA
rnacentral:rRNA from 1 species